ACCCUUUCCUGCUCCCCAGGACAGUCUCGUGGCCAUCCAGGCUUUACUGGGAUGCUCACAGAUGGUCUGGCUUCUUUCUAAAGAAGCAUCAGUUGCUUUUAUCCCUGCCAGUGAGAUUUCAGUAACAAAACCAGCUCCUGGCUCCUUUUGUUGCCUACCUGCCUCCCCAGGGAGGAUGUGGAGUUCAGGUCCAUUCCAUGUGGCUGGAGAGAAGGAGAGUUGUGUUCAAGGCACUGUUUUGCAGAGGAUAACCUACCUGUGAGGGGCUGGCAGUAGGUGGCGGUGGAAAGAAAACUCAUUGUGUGUUUAAAAACCAGGACAUCUUCAAGAAAUGUCACAGAAUCCUUGAGUAGACAUGAGCAAACAGCCCUGGGGGAUUCAUUUGUCUUUGCUGUCAAGAGGAAAAUUAAGACUCCAGGGGACACAGAGGCUGGGUUUGAUGGAUGCUCGAAGCAGAAGGCAGGCGGGUCAGCAUUCCUGUCCCCCAGGAAAACAGGUUCUGCCCCUGGAGAAAAGUGACUGGAACAAGUGUACACCUGUGCAGGGGGGAGAGGGAGUGGGAAGAUAAAUGGUGGAAAAGUCCCUAAAAUUAAAAGUGUCUCUUCUUGUUCGGUAU